AUCAAUAUCAGGAUCUAAAAAUCUAACAGUGUUUCUUGGUCUCAUGUCUUUUCCAACACAAUAAUCUCCUGCAUCUGUGAGGUCUUUGUGUCUCUUUGGCGUUUUGUCGUAAGGCGUCGCUCUAGAGAAAGCCGACUGAAUGGUCGUCUGUUUCAGGCGCCAUGGGCUCCUCGCUCCUCUCGGGGUUUGUAACCUUUUGCGUUGCGCGUGCUCUGCGGCGUGGCGCUGCUUCAGGUGGUGAAAAAGAUUUGAGGUAUUCCCCGACUUUGUGAGAACAUGUACUCGACAUAAUUUACAGUCCACAUUACUCUGCUUCAUGUCCGACCUCCAAAAACCAAAAUACCUCC